UACGGAGGGUGCGAGCGUUGUUCGGAAUUAUUGGGCGUAAAGCGCGUGUAGGCGGUUUGUUAAGUCUGAUGUGAAAGCCCCGGGCUCAACCUGGGAAGUGCAUUGGAAACUGGCAGACUUGAAUACGGGAGAGGGUAGUGGAAUUCCUAGUGUAGGAGUGAAAUCCGUAGAUAUUAGGAGGAACACCGGUGGCGAAGGCGGCUGCCUGGACCGAUAUUGACGCUGAGACGCGAAAGCGUGGGUAGCAAACAGGAUUAGAAACCCCUGUAGUCC
rnacentral:rRNA from 1 species